GGAUAACCUACCCUUAGGACUGGGAUAACCCUGGGAAACUGGGGAUAAUACUAGAUAGGCAAUUUUUCCUGGAGUGGCUUUUUGUUUAAAUGUUUUUUCGCCUAAGGAUGGGUCUGCGGCCGAUUAGGUAGUUGGUUAGGUAACGGCUUACCAAGCCAUUGAUCGGUACGGGUUGUGAGAGCAAGAGCCCGGAGAUGGAACCUGAGACAAGGUUCCAGGCCCUACGGGGUGCAGCAGGCGCGAAACCUCCGCAAUGUGAGAAAUCGCGACGGGGGGAUCCCAAGUGCCAUUCUUAACGGGAUGGCUUUUCAUUAGUGUAAAGAGCUUUUGGAAUAAGGGCUGGGCAAGACCGGUGCCAGCCGCCGCGGUAACACCGGCAGCUCUAGUGGUAGCAGUUUUUACUGGGCCUAAAGCGUCCGUAGCCGGUUUAAUAAGUCUCUGGUGAAAUCCUGUAGCUUAACUGUGGGAAUUGCUGGAGAUACUAUUAGACUUGAGACCGGGAGAGGUUAGAGGUACUCCCAGGGUAGAGGUGAAAUUCUGUAAUCCUGGGAGGACCGCCUGUUGCGAAGGUGUCUAACUGGAACGGUUCUGACGGUGAGGGACGAAAGUUAGGGGCGCGAACCGGAUUAGAUACCCGGGUAGUCCUAACUGUAAACGAUGCGGACUUGGUG
rnacentral:rRNA from 1 species